rnacentral:rRNA from 1 species
GAUGAACGCUGGCGGCGUGCUUAACACAUGCAAGUCGAACGAUGAAGCCCAGCUUGCUGGGUGGAUUAGUGGCGAACGGGUGAGUAACACGUGAGCAACCUGCCCCUGACUCUGGGAUAAGCGCUGGAAACGGCGUCUAAUACUGGAUAUGUCCCGUCACCGCAUGGUGUGCGGGUGGAAAGAUUUUUCGGUUGGGGAUGGGCUCGCGGCCUAUCAGCUUGUUGGUGAGGUAAUGGCUCACCAAGGCGUCGACGGGUAGCCGGCCUGAGAGGGUGACCGGCCACACUGGGACUGAGACACGGCCCAGACUCCUACGGGAGGCAGCAGUGGGGAAUAUUGCACAAUGGGCGGAAGCCUGAUGCAGCAACGCCGCGUGAGGGAUGACGGCCUUCGGGUUGUAAACCUCUUUUAGCAGGGAAGAAGCGAAAGUGACGGUACCUGCAGAAAAAGCACCGGCUAACUACGUG